GCCUUUGUACCCUUAAGUUUUGCAGAAAACUGACGUAUCCACGUAUCCGUAUCGGGCCGAUAUAUCCGUAUCGGUGUAGCAUAGGCGGUGACCGCGGCGGAGAGCCCAAGCAGUGAUGCCCCUUGCGAAGCGGGCGGGAUCCACGGCGUGCUCGAGCUCCGCGCCUCCGCCAUGCGUCCCGCAAGGCCUCGUCCAUCUCCAUCCGGACCGGAGGAGCUCCGCUCUACAGCUGCGGAGAAGACGCCGCCGAGCGUGCCUAGACAGCAUGCGCUCAACCUCCCCUGUAUACUCUCUGCCUCCACUGUUGUGCAUGUAGCUAAGCUCUUCCAUCAAUGAUGAUGUAGCAGGCUGAGCCGCUGAGGACGUCUAAGCCUCAAAAUUGCUGCUGCAAGAUUCGACCCUGCGUCCCUGCUGUUUGCACCCAAAAGAUACGCAUCCUUGUAUACUUCAAAAAAUUUCUCAAUCAAAUUGGUAGCUUGAUAUCUCUAGUGCAGAUCAUUGAAAUCCUAGCAAUCAGCAUGUUCAUUGUCUUGCUUGGUUGAUAUCAAACAGAUCUGCACAUGGAUAAUACUAAAGCCAUGCUUAAAGGUACAAAUCUUUUUGCAUGCAAGAUUUAUAGUAUGCUUAGAUUAGGCUUUAAUGUGCCUAAGUUGUUCCCUCUGUUAGGCGAGAUUUCAUUGUGUAAUAGGAUUCAUAAAUGAAAGCUUAGACAGUAGGUUGGUACAGAACUACAGAUUACAACUUAGUUAAUUUAGUUGGACUAAACAAAUAAAUAGAGACUGAGAAAGAAACAUGGUAGUGUGUAUGAAUAUGUUUGAGAAACCUAUCCAUCUUAAUCAUGUAAAUUUUAAUACUUC